rnacentral:rRNA from 1 species
UUGACCUCAAAUCAGGUAGGACUACCCGCUGAACUUAAGCAUAUCAAUAAGCGGAGGAAAAGAAACUAACAAGGAUUCCCCUAGUAACUGCGAGUGAAGCGGGAAAAGCUCAAAUUUGAAAUCUGGCGGUUCUGAACUGUCCGAGUUGUAAUCUAGAGAAGUGUUACCUGUGCUGGACCGUGUACAAGUCUCCUGGAAUGGAGCAUCAUAGAGGGUGAGAAUCCCGUCUUUGACACGGACUACCUGUACAUUAUGGUGCGCUCUCGAAGAGUCGAGUUGUUUGGGAAUGCAGCUCAAAAUGGGUGGUAAAUGCCAUCUAAAGCUAAAUAUUGGCGAGAGACCGAUAGCGAACAAGUACCGUGAGGGAAAGAUGAAAAGAACUUUGGAAAGAGAGUUAAACAGUACGUGAAAUUGCUGAAAGGGAAACGCUUGAAGUCAGUCGCGUUGGCUAGAAAUCAACCUAGCUCUUGCUCGGUGUACUUUCUGGUUGACGGGUCAGCAUCAAUUUUGACCAUUGGAUAAAGUCUUUGGGAAUGUGGCAUCUUCGGAUGUGUUAUAGCCCAUUGUCGCAUACGGUGGUUGGGAUUGAGGAACUCAGCACGCCGCAAG